ACGGCCGCGCGGACCGUCCGCGUGCAGCCCAAAAUUUGAGACCGCGCGGACAGUGCGCGUACAGUCCGCGUACGACAGCGCAUGCGCGUGAAAAUAUUUAGACAGGACACUCCACUAUAAACAAUUAUACAAAGGAAAUAGACAGCAUUUGCACACACACUAUCGUUUUUCUUCUUUAACUUUUACUUCUUCCAAGAACAGAAAGCUGUGGAGCAUGUUUGUUUGAUUCCUGUUCUUUGUUGUCUUGUUGUUUGUUCUAAACUGUGUUUGCAAUGGUGGAUCAGUUACUUUUCUUCACCUAUCCUAAUGUUUUAAUGUACUCUAAAUGUCACCAAAUCAGUGCUGCCCUGACAGCCUGUUAGACUAAUAAUUUGAAUAAGAAAUCAUUCGUAUUGCGUAUAGUGUCGAACGCGGCCAUCCGCGUGUAGCCGCGGGGACUAUACCCGGAAAGCUGCGCGGACGCGUGCGCGCGCGAGCCGGACGCGGAAAAAAAGUAUACCCGGCCCUCUAGCCAAGGCGACAUCUAGUGUACAUAUCUAUGAUCUUCUAUAGCCGUGCCACGAGAAAUCUGAAUCACCCACCGAAUCUUGCAAAGACGGCGUGGGUGAACCAGAGUCGCAGGUUAUGACGCAAUCGUUAGCCUAUUUUUACAAAAACUGCUUCUACUGGGCCAUAACGUCAGAUACAUGCAGGAUUAGGUGAGCUGUGACUGAUAGCUGAUAUCACCUAUCAGAGAGUGGCAGUCCCCUUUCAAACGGUGAUUGGCUGCUGCUCUGAAUGCGUCAUGUCCGACUUCCCCCCCCCUUUGUGUUCACAACGAUAGCAACAGUUGGCUGCUGGUUUUCCUGCUGUUGGUUAACCGGUGCCGUAAAAGAGUGAAUUGUUUGGUGUGGUACCACUGUUCGGAGCUUGGGGUCCCAUGGGUGGAUGGAUCUGUCUGGUGGUGGUGCUUCCUAGACCUGUUUGAGUCGUGACUCACUCGGAUCUUUCACCCGGAUCUUGAACUCAUGAGUUCUAGUAUCAUUAACCCGGAUCAGUUGAGUCCUACAGUACAAUUCAAUUCAUUCGUAUAAAGGACUAACAUGGACCAGUAUUUAUUUCAUGCUGUCCUUCGGCAGUCCCUACUAAGUGGGAUGUCGAUGUCAUGGUUGACUGGAAGAGAGUCAUGUGGUUGGCCAACAACUUAGUUGUAGAUGAUUUGUCCAUGCUGAAGGCCGUGCAGCAGAGUUGAAUCAGACCUGUCAGAAAACAUCUCUAAGGUGCUAUGAAUCUCAUGACUAGAUACGCAUCCUAAAAGAACUAGAGGUUACGGAACCUUUUUGGAUCCAGCCUCAUUUGUGAAGACUUCAGAUGACGGCAAUACUCACAAAGACUUUAGAUGAUGGCAACUACAGAUGGACAUACAAAACUGCAAAAUGUAAUAUUGUAAUUACUGCCCUAAAGCGCAAGUUUGCAGAUUUUUAACCCACUUUAUAUUGUUACAAAUACAAUACCAAUAUAAAUCCACCUCAAUCGUGUUGCAUUGUGGGAUAUGAAGCUGCCUGAAGUGUACAUAUGAAGUAGACUCGCUCCCUUAGUCAAAAUCAAGGGAAGCGAGGGUCUGUCCAUAUAAACUUCCCUCGUCCACUUGACGAAGUGGAACGUACUUCAAAGUGGCGACAGGGAUUCCCCCAAGGGGAAGUGUUUAGGGAAGUUCACGAGUGCGUGUCUAAAACUGGAGUGGAACGCAGCCCUGGAGGGCCACUCUCCUGCAGAGUUUAGUUCUAACCCUAAUCAAACACAUCUGUUUUUCAUUUCUAAGUGAUCCUAAAGAAACACAUCUGUAUUUCAUUUCUAAGUGAUCCUAAAGAAUUUAGUUUGAUUUUUCAGGUGUGUUUAAUUAUAGUUUGAACUAAACUAUGCAGGCCAGUGGCCCUCCAGGAACAGGGUUCCCCACCCCUGAUAUAAAUGAUCAGUGGUAUAGACAUAUAUAUUAAUUUUACAGCACUUUUAAGAAUGUCUUUAUUUUAAUGUGGUAAGGAUAUGAACUAUAACUCAAGUAUGUAUGUAGGUUAACUUUAUUUUAUUAAAUAUUUGGGUUUUUAAAUUCUCUUUAAUAAUUAAUACUUCGUCUCCUCUGCCCUUUCGUCUUUCCUCGCUUUGCAUCCUAGCAGGGUGGAGUUAAAGCGGGGAAAGGAAACAAAGGCUGCGUCCCAAACCGCAUACUUCCAUACUAUAUAGUGGGCGAAAAGCACUACUUUUCGUACUCUUUGCCUACUAUAUAGUAUGGAAGUAGGCGGUUUGGGACGCAGCGAGAAAGAAGCACCCAAACGUUAGUUUCGCGACAGCCAUCCCUAGUUAUGGUAGUGACCUAAAUUAUGUUAGAUGAAUGAGUAUCUUCUAAGAAAUUAGAUGCUUCUUCGGACAGAAACUAAAUUUAGAAACUUCAAUCUUUCUCUUACAUUAUAUAAGCCUCGCAGUUUAAUACAUGAUCAACCGAUUUGUCACAGUUGCUAGUCUGGUUUUUUACUAUUCGGAAAAUACAUUAGAUUAGCAUAAAUUAAUGAUAAUGUUACUUACAGAGUUGGUAGCAAACUUUUCCUUGCGUUAAACUCCUUCUUCCUCCAUCGUGUCAGAUGACUUCUUGUUGCCGUCCGUGUCUGAAAAUAAAUUUCGACUUUUCUUUCUUUUAACCGCUUUCCACCAACUUGUGUUUUCUUCAUCAUCUCCCUCAAACAUAUGCUCCAUUUCCGGAUCUCUACGGUUUGCGAAAUGCCAACCACCAACCGUCUCUCGGGCUUGGCUGAUUCAGUAAACUAAGUUACUUCUGUAAACUACUUCUUCUUUUUAAUAGCGGAUCAUAUCUUCACGAUAUACCGUCAUCUACUGGAUAACUGUACAGGAGUGAUGAGCGAUUUCGACUUCGAAGCACGCCUCAUGAGGCUUCAUUACGUCAUAACUGUUUCGAAAAUCCGACAAUUAUAAAAGUUCAUAAAACAUUUAUCCUUCUGAUUAAUAACACUACCAGUGUGUCUACUUUGUUUAUAGACAGAUUUAAUGGCAAAAAUGUGCAUAAUUAAAAAGGGAGUUCGUUUUAAUAAUUUGUUUGCCAUAAAUAAAACCAAAACACUUUUAAUUAUGUUUUAAUUAAAUUAUAUAAUGUAUUUUUCUCGAAAACAUAUUAGAACAAUCUUGCUAUUAUUUUGUAAAAAGUGUAAAAUGUUUGGACAGAUCUUCCUGCUUUUACACUAUUUUGACCAGCAGGUGUCGCCAGCGUGUGUGGUGUUUCGAACCAUAGAUGUGUAUAAAGGCUGAGUGGAACGUCCGCAUUUGGCGGCCAUCUUACCACAGGCAGAUCGCUCACUCCUAGCAUUGAGAUUUAAUGGCGCAAGUACUUUUAA